AUAUCAAUAAGCGGAGGAAAAGAAACCAACAGGGAUUGCCCUAGUAACGGCGAGUGAAGCGGCAACAGCUCAAAUUUGAAAUCUGGCGCAAGCCCGAGUUGUAAUUUGUAGAGGAUGCUUCUGGGUAGCGACCGGUCUAAGUUCCUUGGAACAGGACGUCAGAGAGGGUGAGAAUCCCGUAUGUGACCGGCCCGCACCCUUUACGUAGCUCCUUCGACGAGUCGAGUUGUUUGGGAAUGCAGCUCUAAAUGGGAGGUAAAUUUCUUCUAAAGCUAAAUACCGGCCAGAGACCGAUAGCGCACAAGUA
rnacentral:rRNA from 1 species